UCGCAUAGUAGAAUCCUAAAAAAGUUGCAGGAAGAAAUAAAGAGACGAGAAGAGAACUUUGAUAAAGUACUGGUUGGAUAAGCAAGAAUUUGAUAGAGGAUACAGUCGAUCUUUACCUCCAGAGGCGAGCGAAGCAAGUGGUUCAUUAUUCCUCUUUGGAUUAAACAACAAGCAGAAGACCCACCACAGGACUCACCAUAGAUGACAUCAGCAGCCAAAAGCAUUUCACUGCUUAAUCAUGAAACAGAUUCAACAUUGAAACAAUACCAAAGACUCAUUCAUUGAAACGGAAGAUGCAUGCCGUGGUCAUUUUGAGUGGGUGUUCGAUAAAUAUUGAUGCUCAGAAUACUGACGCAGAAGUUCUGCCAGCUAAGCGCAUCAAAGAAAGGCUCAAGGAUCCAGAGAACCAGGUGAACUGGAGGUGGUACCAAUUUCCAGAUGAUAAACAUCCAGACCGAUAGCCAG